UCUGUCUGGAUAUUGACAACAUAAUUACACUAAAUCAAGUAGAAAUGGAAGCCGUUAUAACCGGAAAUACGCCAACAGAUAGGAUUAACAAUGCGCUGGCAACAUUGAGGAGCGAAAUGCUUGACCUCCGACAACAAGAUGUCCAGUUAAUGAAUCAACUCAUAUGUAUCAAUGAUAAUAUCAAGACGCUGGUUAAACGGAGGACGAACCAAGGGAGACCAAUGAGAAAGAAAGUUUCUUUGGUUAAAGGAAGACGGAAAUUCGUCAAUCUGAACGAAUCCAUUCCAGAGGAGGAUUCUAGCUCUGCAGAUUCCGAUAGCGACGCCAGCAUUUCUAGUAACGACAAUGACUUGUAAUAGGAAACUGGGAUAGAGGAACAGCAUUUCAAAUGAAUCCAUCAACUGGAAUAUUGAUUCUGCACUCUAGAAAGAGGGAUCACUACCGCCAUGUAGACAGAAACAAAAGUUUAGCAAUUUAAGAUAGCCCCAAGUUUUACUGAUCUGCCCACUACGGAGACUAACCCAUGACGAUGUAAAGGUGUCUGUUCGAGCACGUACCAUAGGGUGUUUUUUUGCUGAGAACUUGAACACGUAUGUGACAUAAGGAAAUUACGAAAUCGCGUGAUUCAGUGACGCUCAAAACACUUUCUGGACCCAGAUACUUUGAUCAGCAGCAUGUUUUUAUUUCGAAACUUAACUGGCACAAUAACACAAUCCGAAAGACGUUUUAAUGAAAAAACAGACUUUCCUUUGAAUGGUGCUUAUUGGAUAAUUUAAGAGUUUCCAAACUUCCUAAAAAGAUUCCUAUAUGUGUGCUUAAGAGUAUCUGGUACUAAUUUGAAGAAGAUGUAUCAGUGACAUUGAUAUUUUACUAGGGAAUAGCGUCGGAAUGGCAAAACAAGCCGCAUAUACAACUUUGUUCCUUAACGCUCUGUCACUUAUUUUGCCAGAGUGUUAUUAUGUGUUCAACGGGUGCAAUAUAUCAACCAUAAACAGAAGUAUGAUAUAAUGUGAGGUUUUACCUUGAAUGUUAAUUGAUGUCAAUAUUAUGACAAAUGCAUGAGUUAUUAUAUGUAUGAGUGUGUAUGUCAGACUUAAGUAUGUCAGACUGAGUGUGAAUGUCCGACUGAAUGAGUAUGUCUGAAUGUCUGUGUAUAUAUAGUUGUAAAUUCCAUGUGCAAUAGGAAAUGUUGCAAUUAUUUUAAAAUCUGGAAAAUAAAAACUUAC